ACUCCUACGGGAGGCAGCAGUGGGGAAUAUUGCACAAUGGGGGAAACCCUGAUGCAGCCAUACCGCGUGUAUGAAGAAGGCCUUAGGGUUGUAAAGUACUUUCAGCGAGGAGGAAAGGGUGCAGGUUAAUACCCUGUAUCUGUGACGUUACUCGCAGAAGAAGCACCGGCUAACUCCGUGCCAGCAGCCGCGGUAAUACA
rnacentral:rRNA from 1 species